rnacentral:rRNA from 1 species
AAAGCUUCAGCGGUACAGGAUGGACCCGCGUCUGAUUAGCUUGUUGGUGAGGUAACGGCUCACCAAGGCGACGAUCAGUAGCCGACCUGAGAGGGUGAUCGGCCACAUUGGAACUGAGAUACGGUCCAAACUCCUACGGGAGGCAGCAGUGGGGAAUUUUCCGCAAUGGGCGAAAGCCUGACGGAGCAAGACCGCGUGAGGGAGGAAGGCUCUUGGGUUGUAAACCUCUUUUCUCAGGGAAGAACAAAAUGACGGUACCUGAGGAAUCAGCCUCGGCUAAC